rnacentral:rRNA from 1 species
UACGUAGGGGGCAAGCGUUGUCCGGAAUCAUUGGGCGUAAAGCGCGUGUAGGCGGCCCGGUAAGUCCGCUGUGAAAGUCGGGGGGCUCAACCCUCGAAUGCCGGUGGAUACUGUCGGGCUAGAGUGCGGAAGAGGCGAGUGGAAUUCCUGGUGUAGCGGUGAAAUGCGCAGAUAUCAGGAGGAACACCAAUUGCGAAGGCAGCUCGCUGGGACGUGAUUGACGCUGGAGACGCGAAAGCGUGGGGAGCAAACAGG